rnacentral:lncRNA from 1 species
ACUCCCAUGUCUUGUUGUCCAUAAGAGAUUUGUACUCUUCUUGCAUAGCAAUCUCCCACUUCAUUGCAUCACCACACCUCAUUGCAUCACACACAGUCAAUGGAUCAUCAAGAAGAGCAACAUUGAUCUGAUCUUCAAUUACUUGUGGAAAGAUGUGGUUCUUCCACCAUUCACCUUGUGGUCUUCUUUCACGUAUUGGAUAUCUUCUUUCAUGCAAAGAAGAUGAGCCUUCAUGCACCUCUUGCUGCCUUCUAUGGCUCAUACACUUCCUUCUCUCAUUCAUUGGUUGAUAUUCUUCAUCUUCAUUCUCUUCAUUGUGCUUGUUGUAUCUUGCUGGAAUUGAAGGCUUUAUAGAUUUGGG